CAGUAGCCGCGGUAAUACGUAGGUGGCAAGCGUUGUCCGGAAUUAUUGGGCGUAAAGGGCUCGCAGGCGGUUUCUUAAGUCUGAUGUGAAAGCCCCCGGCUCAACCGGGGAGGGUCAUUGGAAACUGGGAAACUUGAGUGCAGAAGAGGAGGGUGGAAUUCCACGUGUAGCGGUGAAAUGCGUAGAGAUGUGGAGGAACACCAGUGGCGAAGGCGACUCUCUGGUCUGUAACUGACGCUGAGGAGCGAAAGCGUGGGGAGCGAACAGGAUUAGAUACCCGAGUAGUCCCUGUCUCUUAUAC
rnacentral:rRNA from 1 species